rnacentral:rRNA from 1 species
UACGUAGGGUGCGAGCGUUAAUCGGAAUUACUGGGCGUAAAGCGUGCGCAGGCGGUUCGUUGUGUCGGCGGUGAAAGCCCCGGGCUCAACCUGGGAAUGGCCGUUGAAACUGGCGAACUGGAGUGUGGCAGAGGGGGGGUGGAAUUCCGCGUGUAGCAGUGAAAUGCGUAGAGAUGCGGAGGAACACCGAUGGCGAAGGCAGCCCCCUGGGCUAGCACUGACGCUCAGGCACGAAAGCGUGGGGAGCAAACAGG